CCUACGGGUGGCAGCAGUGGGGAAUAUUGCACAAUGGGGGAAACCCUGAUGCAGCGACGCCGCGUGAGCGAGGAAGUAUUUCGGUAUGUAAAGUUCUGUCAGUGGGGACGAAAAAUGACGGUACCCACAGAGGAAGCACCGGCUAACUCCGUGCCAGCAGCCGCGGUAAUACGGAGGGUGCAAGCGUUGUCCGGAAUCAUUGGGCGUAAAGAGUUCGUAGGCGGCAUGUAAAGUCAGGUGUUAAAGGCGCAGGCUCAACCUGUGUAUGGCACUUGAUACUUGCAAGCUGGAAUGCGGUAGAGGUAAAGGGAAUUCCUGGUGUAGCGGUGAAAUGCUUAGAUAUCAGGAGGAACAUCGGUGGCGUAAGCGCUUUACUGGGCCGUAAUUGACGCUGAGGAACGAAAGCCAGGGUAGCAAAUGGGAUUAGAUACCCCAGUAGUC
rnacentral:rRNA from 1 species